UAGCACAGGUGCUGCAUGGCCGUCGUCAGCUCGUGCCGUGAGGUGUGGGUUAAGUCCCGCAACGAGCGCAACCCCCGCCGUUAGUUGCCAGCGGUUCGGCCGGGCACUCUAACGGGACUGCCCGCGAAAGCGGGAGGAAGGAGGGGACGACGUCUGGUCAGCAUGGCCCUUACGGCCUGGGCGACACACGUGCUACAAUGCCCACUACAAAGCGAUGCCACCCGGCAACGGGGAGCUAAUCGCAAAAAGGUGGGCCCAGUUCGGAUUGGGGUCUGCAACCCGACCCCAUGAAGCCGGAAUCGCUAGUAAUCGCGGAUCAGCCAUGCCGCGGUGAAUACGUUCCCGGGCCUU
rnacentral:rRNA from 1 species